UUGCUUUUCUGUUGGACAUCUGCUCCAAAAUUUACCAAUAUUAACUAAAUGUUGAAAAAACAGAAGUGCGUAAUGUCGGUUUUUCCAUUAAAUCACAAAUGUGAUGAUUUUUUAACAUGGUGAAAU